rfam:Myotis davidii contig36645, whole genome shotgun sequence.
GGUGGGUCUCGGGUGACACACCCCAGAAUCAGGCUCCCUCAUCUCUGGUUCUGGGUAGGUCACCUGAGAACCGCA